GCUACACAGAGAAACCCUGUCUCGAAAAACCAAAAAAAAAAAAACCAAAAAAAAAAAAAAAAAAAAAAAAAGAAAGAAAGAAAGAAAGGAAGGAAGGAAAAGAAAAAAAAGAAAUUAUUUUCAAAAUAAAAUGUUUGUAGCCGUAUCCUAAAUGGUGGGAUGCAUCUGUGUUCUCCCAGGCUUGUGCCUGGGCUCUGGCUCUCCACUCACUCCUUAAUGAACACGUGGUCAUUUUGAACUCUUUUGAGCCUCAGCUACCUAAUCUGUGGAGCUGAAGCAAUUUCUAAUGCACUCGGGUGCUCAAGAGAUAAACUGAAGGGGACAAUAUUCAAAGUAUAGCCCAGAAGUCACCUGUGUGGUGCCUGCAGUUGGAGCCCCGAGACUGGUCAGGCGGUGAGCCUGCAAUGACUCUCUCCGCGGGGUGGUGUCUCGGAGUGGAGCUUUGCAGGGACUUCUUUCUCCUAAGAGAUCUCUGGGCUCUUAAUGACCUAGGAGGAGGAAGGGGAGAAGUUGGGGGAACUGCACUGGAGGCUAGUGUGUGGUGAAGAUCUCAGCCCUCCCUUCCUGUGAGAUUUCCCAGUGUUCUCUCCUGUCUUGGUCUGCGAAGAUGGUGCCUGUUAAUGAAGGCGGACAGUCAUUGGAAAGGGAGCCUGUCCGUCUUUCCUCCUGCCUUCAGGCACAGCUACAUCUAAAUUCCUGUGAACACAUGCAUUUCCAUUCUUCUUGAAAUGCCUGUGUCUGCAUCUAACUAUUAAGAAGUUCAUUCUCACUUCCAGUUUUGAUAAGCAUAUUUCUUACUCCUGCCAUCUUCUGUGGAGGUAGAAAAUUGCUUUCUACAGUUAGGAAAUUUUACAGAAAAGAAAAAAAAAAUCAUCCUUCUAAUGGGUGGAAUUAACAGGCCUUUUUUUUUUUUUUUUUUUACUCAGUAGCUGUUUCUGCAGAUCCAUGAUCUAGUAAAAACCUAGACAUUAGGUUCCUGGGAGCUCAAAUGAUGCCCACUAAGUGGUGACAGGAAUAUCUGAGCAGGUAAAUGCCUUGAGACUACUCACUACUCACUCCACAUCUUUAUGUGACUCAGGCCAGCCUGGCAGUGUGGCUGUGAGGCCGAGAUAAAUACUGAGAAUUGCCCAUUGUACAUUAAAACAAACAAACCAGCAAGCAUAAGCCCCUCCUGUGGACGUCUCUGCGGCUCUGCCCUGAAGGCUCUAAAGUCUGUUACAUACUGAUAGCUAAGGGAAUGCAAUCAAGAUUCUUUACUAAUGCCUACAGAAAAGAAAAACCACCCUAAGUUGUUAACUGGCCUCCAGGAUAUAUAUAGGUAAAUAUCGAGCUGGGUUUUAUUUGGGAUGAGAGGUUUGGUACAAUUUAAUAUUCUAGAACAAACAGGAGAAAAAUUCAUAGUGCACUUGAAUUGUUCCAAGACCAGGGUGAAAUGAUGUUGUUUUUUACAUGUAGCUCCUGACGGCUUUACAUUGUUUCCAUAGAGGAAAACACUAUUUAAAGUAGCCUAGGCUAGGGGCGCAGUGAGAGUUGGGUGUAUUCAGAUUGCUACACUCUUUCUUCUGCAGCCCUGAGAAACUUUAAGGCCUCACCUCUGGACAUUCUGGCACAGUUGGGGCAAAACUAGCAAGGUAAACAUGGGACGAAAACCCCCACUCUCUGUUAAGCACAGACAGGCAAGAUGCAUUUAGAACUAGAAGCGUCAUCACACGGUGCAGAGUAGAAGAACUCUUCACUCGACAGUAGGUCAUGUGAAAAUAACCCAUGUCCAUUGACCGCAAGAUUAAUAGGGGCCGGCAGUGUGGCAUUGCCAUGUCAAAAGCUAAUGCUGUGUUGGGCUGUGGUCUGACCACAACUGGGAUUUUUUUUUAGUACCCAGUUUUGGGUAUAAAUGCUAAGAUGAAUGCCAAGAGAAGGAAAAGCCAGAUGCUUCUGGAGGAAACCCAUCUUAUAUGAGAGUCCGUUGCAGAAUUGCUGAAAGUCGCAGAGGGGCGGGUUCCUUAGUGCGAUUUCAGGGCCAAGGGCGUCAGGGCCGAUGCACAGUCUCUGGUUCUCUGUCUUUGGAGCCUUGAGCUCCCAUUUACCAGAGGAAAGAAACCACAGAAUGCUGAGUGUACCCACAGCACCUAAGCAGACAGCGUAAACUUGGUUUCUGACUUAUUUUCCCAACACAUCUAUUCACCCUCCUAAAUUUCAAAAUAAGAGGCUGUUCUCAUUCUUCUGGCUGUCCUCCAAAUGAGAAAUGGUCCGUCUUUGGUCCGUUUCCCUUAGGGGAGAAAGAAAAGACAUUCGAAGUUAUCACCUGUGCCCUGUCUUCAGUUUAUUUCCAGGAGCUCUUUACAAAUAACACUCACUAGAACAACGCAACUGUCAAACUUGAUAAUUUCUGAGGAGUUCUGAGUAGUUAGCAUUAAGAAGUGCGAGAGGCAAAGAAUACCACUCUUACAGCAGAGGGAACACUUUUACAUCCUUUCUUGAGGUUGAGGUUAAGUUCUGUGUGACUCAGCACAUUGACAUUCUACGGGACCCUGAGUCUCUUCUGUUUCCUGAUCUACUUGUCUUGACCUGUUUCAUUUUUCACACCAAAAUACUUUCAUUAGCACAGCAAUCAUGCACAGGAGAUAAUAGCAAGCUGAUAUAAUUAUCUGGCCUGUCAGAGGCCAUGGGUUUAUUUCAUAUGCAACUGUCUUUCCUGGUGGGAUGAUACACUUUCUGCUGACACAAUAGGUGUGCCAACAUGCUAAAUAAUCUGCUGGGUGAUGUUAAGGUCUCUGUGGCAAAUUCACCUAGAGAGGCAGAAUGGUGAGACCAGUUUCCUGAGUUCUAGCUCCUAACUGGCAACUGACCGAAGGUCUAACUGUUAAGCGGUUAAAACCAAGAAGGAGGCGGUUCACUUUGGAACCCUCGCAAGGUCUGUUCUGGUCUGUUCUUUUCUUGUGUGUGCUUUUGGCAUGCAGAUACAUGGGUUUAGUCUUUGCAAGAAAGUUCCUUUUGAAAAAGGAUUUAAAAACACGAAGUGCUCAAUCCACAGCUACCGAACAACUAAAGUGACUGCAAUUUCAUUUGAGAAAUUAUGCUGC
rnacentral:lncRNA from 1 species